UGAAGAGUCACGGAAUCACGAGUAUUCCACAUCACGCAGAGGAGAGCCUUAUAAAAGCUCUGCAGCCCAUGUUCACCUCAGCACUUCCAUCACCAUGAGGGCGACAGUGGCAGCUCUCCUCCUGUGUCUUGUGGUAUCAGCAUGCCGCAGCCAAGAAACUCCACCUGGCCCUCCUGGACCAACUGAGGGGCCACAACCAACUGGCCCACCAGGCCCACCAACCGGAGGUCCUGAUCCAA